rnacentral:rRNA from 1 species
AGAGUUUGAUCCUGGCUCAGGAUGAACGCUGGCGGCGUGCUUAACACAUGCAAGUCGAACGAUGAUCCCCAGCUUGCUGGGGGGAUUAGUGGCGAACGGGUGAGUAACACGUGAGUAACCUGCCCAAGACUCUGGGAUAAGCCUGGGAAACUGGGUCUAAUACUGGAUGCCGACUUUCCGCCGCAUGGUGGGGGGUUGAAAGGCUUUUGUUGGUUUUGGAUGGACUCGCGGCCUAUCAGCUUGUUGGUGGGGUAAUGGCCUACCAAGGCGACGACGGGUAGCCGGCCUGAGAGGGUGACCGGCCACACUGGGACUGAGACACGGCCCAGACUCCUACGGGAGGCAGCAGUGGGGAAUAUUGCACAAUGGGCGAAAGCCUGAUGCAGCGACGCCGCGUGAGGGAUGACGGCCUUCGGGUUGUAAACCUCUUUCAGUAGGGAACAAGGCCAGCACUUGUGUUGGUUGAGGGUACUUGCAGAAGAAGCGCCGGCUAACUACGUGCCAGCAGCCGCGGUAAUACGUAGGGCGCAAGCGUUAUCCGGAAUUAUUGGGCGUAAAGAGCUCGUAGGCGGUUUGUCGCGUCUGCCGUGAAAGUCCGGGGCUCAACCCCGGAUCUGCGGUGGGUACGGGCAGACUAGAGUGAUGUAGGGGAGACUGGAAUUCCUGGUGUAGCGGUGAAAUGCGCAGAUAUCAGGAGGAACACCGAUGGCGAAGGCAGGUCUCUGGGCAUUAACUGACGCUGAGGAGCGAAAGCAUGGGGAGCGAACAGGAUUAGAUACCCUGGUAGUCCAUGCCGUAAACGUUGGGCACUAGGUGUGGGGGACAUUCCACGUUUUCCGCGCCGUAGCUAACG